UUAAUUGAAGAGUUUGAUCAUGGCUCAGAUUGAACGCUGGCGGCAGGCCUAACACAUGCAAGUCGAGCGGUAACAGAGAGAAGCUUGCUUCUUUGCUGACGAGCGGCGGACGGGUGAGUAAUGCUUGGGAACAUGCCUUGAGGUGGGGGACAACAGUUGGAAACGACUGCUAAUACCGCAUAAUGUCUACGGACCAAAGGGGGCUUCGGCUCUCGCC
rnacentral:rRNA from 1 species